rnacentral:rRNA from 1 species
AAUAGCUUUAGGGCUAGCGUCGGGUAAUUGAGUAGUGGAGGUAGAGCACUGAAUGGGCUAGGGGCUGACAACAGUUACUGAACCCUAUCAAACUCCGAAUGCCAUAUACUUGUACCCCGGCAGUCAGACUACGAAUGAUAAGAUCCGUGGUCAAAAGGGAAACAGCCCAGACCAUCAGCUAAGGUCCCAAAGUGUAAGUUAAGUGGGAAAGGAUGUGGGAUUUCUAAGACAACUAGGAUGUUGGCUUAGAAGCAGCCACUCAUUUAAAGAGUGCGUAAUAGCUCACUAGUCGAGAGAUCCUGCGCCGAAGAUGUAACGGGGCUCAAACUUACCACCGAAGCUAUGGAUGUGUACUUUGUACACGUGGUAGAGGAGCUUUCUGUACAGGUUGAAGUCAUACCGUAAGGAGUGGUGGACAGUACAGAAGUGAGAAUGCUGGCAUAAGUAGCGAAAAACAAGUGAGA